GAAGUUCGUAAGAAGCCGACCCUUCCAGGACUCUUCCGACUUCCGACUUUGUGCGACAUGUUUCCGGACUUCUCCAGUAGCCGAGCUUCUACAGUGUUCCCAAGCUCCUCCGACGGACGAACUCCCACAACGCCUUCUACAGUGUUCCUAAGCUCCUCCGACGGACGAACUCCCAUGCCUUCUACAAGUGCCAACCGAACUCCUCCGACAGACGAACUCCUACUGUGCCCUCCGAACUUCUCCAAUGAUAAGCUCCUUCAGUCGUCUAUCGGACCGCUCCAAAUGCUCUCCGGACUUCACCAUCAGCCGACCUUUUACAGCGAUUGACUGUUAUCCGAACUAUUUCAGACUUCCUCCUGUCACGAUCGACUCUGCUUCGGGCUUCUUCCUGACUUCGCCAAGGUCCGUGCCUCUCCAGCGGCAGGACUUCUACAGCAACUGGACUCCAUUCAAAUUUCUACGGUGGUCGACCACCUUCCGAAUUCCGUCCAAACUUCUACAGUGAGCGACCUCCAUCCGAGCUUCUACGAUAAGCAGUCUCCAUCCGAGCUUCUACGAUAAGCAGUCUCUAUCCGGGCUCCCACGGCAACCAGUCUCUAUCCGAGCUUCUACGAUAAGCAGUCUCCAUCCGAGCUUCUGCGAUAAGCGAUCUCCGUCCGAGCUUCUACAGCAAGCGACCUCGACCUCCCUUCGGACUCCUACAAGAGUCGGACUUCGUCCAAACUUCUACAGCAGGUGGAUUCCAGACGAACUUCCGCAACGGACGGGCUCCAACAAAUGAAUUUCUACGACGACCAACUGCCUCCGGUGUCUUCUGUACCUCUCCAUGCCAUCGGCCUUCUAUAGGUGCCAGCCGAGCUCCUCCGAUGGACGAGCUCCUACAACACCUUCCAGACUCCUCUAUUGGACAACCUUCAAUAAUGCUUUCCGAAUUCCUGAUGAGCUUCUCUAGCAAUCGGACACCAGCCGGACUUCUCCAACGAAGAUUCUCCGUCCAGGCUUCCGCAGCAGAUGACCUUCAUCUGCAGCAUCAACGCCUAAGACAUCCGACCACAGUUAGCACGUCAACAACCUCGAAACAUCCAAGCUCCUCUCAGAUUGUCGAGACAGAGAGCUAGUCUGCUCCACCAGACGUCCCAAUCGAGCUUCAACCAUCCAGUCUGAACUCCCCAGCAAGUCGCGACAACGGACACAACUCCGCUUUCCGUAACAGACUCCACGUGGCCCCACCACUCUCUGGCAAGUCGCGACAACGGACACCACUACUCUCCGUAACAAACACCACGUGGCCCCGAACGGCCCACUACCAGGCGGUUACAGACGUCGCUGUCAAUCAGUUACGCUCUCCCGUCUAUAAAAGAGACCCUCCAGAUACGUUCUUCUCGAGGCUAAGCUAUAAGCUCUGGUACUAUCUCUAAACUCUGCAAAAAAUCCCGUUCGAGUGCUCCAUUUCUGUUGAGGCAGAGUACUGACUUGAGCGUCGGAGGAUCUUACAGGAGCACCCCCAACUCCGAUUUAGACUUCUCUUGCAGGUCCCGGCGGCAGCCGCAAUCUCUUCGACUCCAGCUUCUCCGGCGUCAGCAGAAUUUUGCACCAACACAUUACAUGUUGCUAAAGUACUAAAACAAUACAUACCAUGCCACACAUGCAGUUGGAACCUAAAUCCAGGCAUUAAAAAUCAGAAAGGAACUUCUUUAAUGACAAAUUGAAGUUUUCAAGUUUUACAAAUAUUUGGAAACAUUGUAAGGUUAAGUUCUAUGAGACUUAGAGCAAAAACUUUUUUCUUCUUGACAUAGGUAUCACAUUCCUACCUCCUAACUUUCAAAUAUUGGUAUCAUAUGUUAUAUUGCCAUCAAAUAUUACAUGAUGCACUACCUCUUAAACAAAAUUUUAUGACAUUUUUAUAUCAGAUCAUAUUUAAUGGCCUGAGUCAAUGACCACACAAAAGAAUUUAUCAAAUGGUUCUACAAAAUGAGAUCCUGUAAUUUAUUUUUCUAAAACUUUUUAUUUUUUAUAAUGAUUUUUCCCUCAUUUCGACUAAAACUACUAAAACUGUUGAAUUCUAUAGUCAUCGUCUUGCUGAAAUUUAAAUUUCAAAUUCAGUCCUUAGAAUAUAUCUUGUUUUG
rnacentral:lncRNA from 1 species